GGGGAUGUAGCUCAGUGGUAAAGUGCUUGCCUAGUAUGCAUGAGGCCCUGGGUUCCAUCCCUG
rnacentral:tRNA from 1 species